CAGAGAGCUCCACACGGUACGGUCCGCCACCGUCCAGAGCGCCUUGCAUGUGUGAGUGUGUUUUAUGUGUGUGUGAGGGGCACGUGUGUGUGUGCGUGUGUGUGUGUGAGAGUGAGUGAGUGUGUGUUAACUCCAAGUGUCUGCAGCAAACUAAAUUAAAGGAUUUAGUUGGAUAAAGCCUCAGCGGAGUCGCAUUAACACCAGAAGACCUGAGAGCUGAUGCUUCCCGCCAUCACCAUGGAAACGGAGGCCAGUCAUAUGCUGGAGGCUGCACUGGAGCAGAUGGAUGACAUCAUUGCAGGUUCGAAAGCAGCAGCGGUGGAGUUCUCUAACAGCAUGUAUGACCCGGCUUCUCCCGUCAGCGCUGCUCCUCUGCAGGUCGUUCAGUUGGCUGAGGACCUCAAACUUGCCCUGGAGCUCCAACCCAACCAGGACGAGAGGCACGGCCUCAGAGCUCAGUUACCUUCAGAAACAGCACAGACCCUCAUAGACUGGCUCCAGAGUGGAACUGUGGACCUGUGUUCUCCAGUCAACAAUGAAACCUACCAAGAACGACUGCUCCGCCUAGAAGGAGACAAGGAGUCUCUGGUGCUACAGGUGAGCGUCCUGACCGACCAGGUGGAGGCCCAGGGAGAGAAGAUCAGAGACCUAGAGAGCUGUCUGGAGGAGCACCGGAAGAAACUGGCCUCUACAGAGGAGAUGCUGCAACAGGAGCUGAUGAGCAGGACCUCUCUGGAGUCUCAGAAGCUGGACCUGGUGGACGAGGUGUCCUGCCUCAAACUGAAGCUGGUCAGCAUGGAGGAGACACACACCAAUACACCGCCACAAGAGCCCGCGGACACCGAGCAGAACAAAGCCGAGUGUGUGGUAAAUCUCAUCAGUGAUCUUCAGGAGCAGAUGUGCAGGUUUCAGGAGGAGAUCAGCACUCGUAUCCAGGAGAAACGGGCCCUGGAGGAGAGGGAGGCCCAGCAGGGGGAGGCCAGAGGCAGCCAAACCCAGGGCCUCAUCCCUCAGGCUGGGUUAGCCGGCUCAGACCUGAGGUUGUCUGGCUCUGACGCCCGGAUGCACAAUGGAGGACAGACUGUACACGAUUUGCUACAAGAAGUGAAGCAGCUGAAGAGCAGAGUGGAGGAGCUAGAGGGAGAGAAGGGCCAGUAUGAGAGGAAGCUAAGAGCCACCAAGCUCUCUAUCUCCUACUCUCUCCAUGUGUGUUACCAGUCGCUCAUGACCCAGCUGUCCAGCCUCAAGCUGACGGUGGAGCACACGCAGCUGGAGAAGCAGCACUGGGAGGAGCGCUGGCACAGCGCACAGGCAGAGAUGUCAGAGCUGCAGCAGCUCGUGGCCUCCAAAGACGCUGAGAUCGAAUGUCUGCAGACCCAGCUGCUGGCCAGAGGCAGCACAGCCAAUGACAACACAGAGAGAGAGGAGGUGUAUAUCAAGCAGCUGAUUAACAAAUACCACGAAUACCAGAGGCUGAAGGUGGGGAUGGAGUCUUUGUUAGCUUCAAACGAGGAAAAGGAUCGACGUAUAGAGGAGCUGACCAUUCUGCUUGUCCAGUACAGAAAGAUGAGGGAAGUCAUGGCUCUCACACAGGGGAGCAGUGAAGAGGAGCUGGCUGGCAGUCUAAGACUCAGAGCCAUCACACACAAAGCACAAUCUGAUUCUGUUAGGUCAGAGAUGUCAUCUCGAGGGUCUUCUCCACUGAUGCUUUCUUCAUCUCCCUACCAGAGACAAUUGGACUCCAGUGUCCAGAACUCGAUGGACACUUCGCUGGUGUCCACUGGGGACAUGAGCUUCUUUAAUGGCUCGUGGCAUCGGUGCAGGUUGCUGUCCAGCAGUCUCGAGGAGCUGCAGAGUGGAUCCUUCCAAAAGGCUGUAGAGAUCCAGCCUCUUGAGACUGAAUCAGACACAAGGGCAGAGAAUGCUCACAUGGAGCUGAGCAAGUACCAGACUCUGCCGGGGAAACUGAAAGGUAAAAAGAGCGAGCGGAGAGCCGAGCUGAAUGGAGACAGAGAGCAAGAUGGAGAGUAUUCCUCUCCUGUCCACAGCCACGACCAGGACCAGGACCAGGACUACAGCCUCAUUCGCUGCAGGAGUGCCAGUGCUCCGGCUUUAGGAUCUCCUGGCAAACAUGACCUCUAUGAUGUUGGGCAUCCAGAGUGUCUUCUGUCAGGCCAGUCCCCCCUGUCCUCUGGAGUGGACUCUGGACAGCAGUCCCCUGUCUCACCAGAGAACAGGAAGAGUCACAGAGGCAUUAAGAAAUUCUGGGGGAAGAUCCGUCGCAGCCAGUCAGGCAGUCCUGCCCAAGUCCACGACCCCGAGCUGGGAGAGUUCCGGAGGGGAGGCUUCAGAGCUACAGCUGGACCGAGACUGGUCCGCCCACGGAACACACGAGACCUGAAGGUGCCUUUUUCUAAGUGGAGCACAGAGCAGGUGUGUGGCUGGCUCGAGGACAUUGGACUGGGCCAGUACGGCAUUCUUGCUUGCCACUGGGUCACCUGCGGUGAUACUCUACUGUCGGCCACCCUGCAAGACCUAGAGAAGGAGCUGGCGAUGAAGAACCCGCUCCACAGGAAGAAGCUCCAGUUAGCCAUGAAGACAUUCAGCAGCGGGCAGCCUGGGAAGUCUGCAGAGCUGGACUACAUCUGGGUCACUCGUUGGCUCGAUGACGUCGGACUCCCUCAAUACAAAGACCAGUUUAAUGAAGGAAGGGUUGAUGGGCAGAUGCUGCAGUACCUCACUGUGAACGACCUGUUACUCCUCAAAGUGAGCAGCCAGCUGCAUCACCUCAGCAUCAAGUGUGCCAUCCAUGUUCUUCAUGUCAACAAGUUCAACUCCAACUGCCUCAAACGCAGGCCCAGCAAUGAGAACCAGUUCUCUCCCAGUGAGGUGGUCCAGUGGUCCAACCACCGGGUCAUGGAGUGGCUGAGAUCUGUGGAUCUGGCAGAAUACGCACCAAACCUGAGGGGCAGCGGCGUGCACGGAGGGCUGCUGAUGCUGGAGCCUCGCUUUAACUCAGACACGCUGGCAAUGCUGCUGAACAUCCCUCCUCAGAAAACACUGCUGAGACGCCACCUCACCACCAACUUCAACAACCUGGUGGGAGCACAGGCUCACCAGGAGAAGAGGGAGUACACUGAGGCAGCGGGGUACACCCCACUCAGCAUCACAGCUAAAGUCAAGCCGAAGAAGUUGGGCCUCUCUAACUUGACUCACCUCAGGAGGAGGCGGCCGGAUGAAUCCACAGACUACGUCUGUCCAAUCGAGUCGUCCUCGCCUCAGUCAGGACAGUCUGCAGUGAACGGGGUGCAGGUGCGGCCCUACGCCGGCUUCAGAGGCCUGAGCCCGAUCCUGGACAGAGAACCCGACCUCUCCAGGGACCAGGUGGGGCUCGGCCACAGCAGAGCUGACCCAUCCCCCUGACGACAGCUGUGUUCCCUCAACCAAUCCGCUGCCACUGCUACUAUUCAGCUUCCUUUGCUUGCGGCCCAUAAUACCUCAGCCCGUCCCCUCCCUGCUCCUCUAGAGCCCCGUGCCUUACGAGUGAAGAGAUUCAGAGCCGCCACACGGCUGCUUCUACUGACACCAUCGAUCUAUACACUCAUCUCCAGACCUCCGUCUCUAACCGGUGCCAUGAUGGAGCUCAUCAUGAGAGAGCACAGCAUCUCUCUGACACCACUUUCUGUGAUCCAUACACCAGUAUAUAUUGAUAGCUCUUGCUGUACAGUAUUCAGCCAUUACUCUAACAUAUGUGCAUCACCAGUAGAUGAUUCUGUAUGUGUGAGUCCGUCAUUCCAUCAUUUACCACUUUAACACCCUUCUGUUACGUGGUCGAGAUGAACUUGUGCAAUAUUUGCAUAAUAUUAUGGAGGGCUUUGAUUUAAUAUUGAUGUCAUUGCAGAGCUAAUUAUUAAACAGCAUGUUAGGUUUGAACCUGGGGGGUCAUUUUUUACUGUUAUUUUCAUAUUUGCUGUAAUAGUAUUUUUAUAGGAAAGAUGAUGCUGCUCUGCUAAAGGAAGCUCAUGUGUGCUCAUGUAAAUGUAAAAAGUUUUACCGAAUCAUUUAAUAAACAAGAUCACACACGUGUAAAGUUGAUUCCUUUUUUCGACACAAAAGGCAGAGAGGUGAGAUCAGAAGUAGUUAUUUUGGAUGUACAACAUUGUUAGGGGCGUGUCCUCUCUUCAGGAAGCAUACACUACUUCCUGUGUUUGUCUUUUUAAAUCACUACCACUACUAAAGAUAAACAGAUGUGGCUUCAACUACUAACCUGCUUUCAUCAUCAUCCUCAUCAUCCUCUCCAUCAUGGCUGUUUAUGACGCCAGCUCCCACUCUGCGGACCAAUCUGAACCAAGAUGGCUGCUGACCAUUACCAUGGGUCACCAUCGGGAAGUGCAUGUUUGAGAUUGGCCCAUUCAGCAUGCAGCUGCAGGUACAACCCUCCUGCAUUACUUCACUCAGUAAUGUAUAGUACACUUCUGUGUACUUAUACAAACUAACGCCUACAUGAGGAAAGUUGCCAUUGUCUCACUGGAAGUAUGUCUGUGGUUGUUAUCAUGGCUUCAUGAGACCUGUGUGUGUGCGUGUGUGUGUGUGUGUGUGUGUGUGUGUGUUGCAGAUGGCGACCACAGGGGGUACCAUCCUGCAAAUAGAAGCUCUCUCUGAAAGCAUCAACAACCUCACAUACCUGCUCAGCCGAGACGAGCUGCAGAAGGAGCUGAGGCGAUCUCAGACGGCGCUAGUUUGAAGGACAAUGACCUGAUGCUGUUGGCUCACUAAUGCUGUCAAUCAACAGUGUGACCCCUGAAGCCCCGGCCUAACACUCAUACCUCAUAUAACACCUACAGCCGCUCUGAAGUCACUCUGCGCUGGACUUAGGAGCACCAGUGGAAACAGUCAUGUGCCGCUUACAGAAAUCUUUGUUUUCAUUCCUACAAUAACUGAACUGUUACUCGUUAGCCCUCUGGGGUGUUUCUGUUACUGCUUCCCUUGUUUACCUAUGCAAUGUGCCCUUAAAUGAUCCCACUGUGUACUCUGUGCACUUUACUGGUAUAUGAAAGGAAAGAACAGGGACUCACUUCCUGCCUCAGGGCAAUCAUGUGAUAUACAGAAGAGGCUAUGACAUAUUUUUAAUGGAAUAUUUGAUUGCUCAAAGGUGACAAAUGGAGGUUCAGCCACUCUGAAGAUCUCCCAAGAAACGAGACAAGAGUGGCCCAAAUUGGAAAUUGAUUCAAUCAAUGGGACGGAAACACACACACACACACACACACACACACACACACACACACAUUUGUGUUGAGUUAAGUUCCUCAGCAUUAACAGCAUGUGUUGGUUUCGUUAGUUAAAAAGGCAGAGUGGGACACAAAGUGGUCCAUGUUACUUUGUUGGAAUGACUUUUAUUGUUUCAGGAGGUAAAGAUUCACUGUAGAUGAUUCAUAGUAUUUACUAUAAACUGAGAUACAGAAGCUACACAGAAAACAUUUGACUCUACGAAAGCUUCUUCAUAAAAGGUCAGAGAAAGAACAGAAUUCCUUUGGAGCCUGGAGGUAAUGAAAGGACCUGAAUGCUCCUCAGCGAUGUGUUCAGGGACAGUCCUCAGGUCAGUCUGAGAGACACCAUCAGUGAUAUUGUAGAUCAUUAUUAUUGUAGCAUCCAGCAACGGAUCUGUGCAUAAAAUGCCAGAAAACAGAUAGUUGGUCAGAUAAGGUGAUGUAAGAGAUGUGUGAAGGAGCUCUAGCACCGUGGGAAAGUGGAAAUAUAUUCACUUCCAAUCAAGCCCAACCAAUACAUGCAUAGUCAGCUAUAUUUGAGGUCAGUUCGGACAUUACAUAAUCUGUUCGCUGAAAGCACUGGCAGCUUCAUAUCUCUGUUGCAAUUGUGAAUGAAUAAAGAUGCACUAAUCUAUAUUUCUAUAUUAAAGGUGGAUCAUAUAACAUAGAGAUGCACCGAUAUUGACUAGAAUAGCCGGAUCAGUUAUCAGUGACAAUGGGCCGAUCCGGUAUCGGGUACCAUUAUUUGAAUAAAGUACAAUUCAGUACAUUUCCAUCUAUGUAUUUGUUUGUUACAUUUAGUUUUACAAAGUUAUGGAAGUAUUGUUUAAGUCGAGCCUGAUGUUGCCUUACACAUAAAGCAUGAUCCCAGUCACUUCCACACAAACAUCCAGCUCAUUAAUAAACGCUGGUAUCUGAUCAGUACACAGUACCACUGUCGGUACUGAAAAAGGUGUGAUGUGGAAUGGGUUGUAUGUGGUGCUGAACGCACAGUGAAUUCUCUCUGCAGUUCCCCUGAGAGCUGCUUUGCUGUCUUUCAGCUCAGUGUUUUGGUUGUACGGCCCACAACUCUGGUGAUAAAGUGUUUUCUCUGCUCUUGUCAGCCAUGUUCCAGCAGCAGGCCGCUGCUGUACUCUACCUGCUCAGCAGCAGCAGACAGACACAGUGGGAGACUAACUGGUGAACACAGUGGAGCAUUUAGCAGCUAAAGAGACAAACAUGUUUCUAAGAAGUAGGUCCUAAAAGGAAUCAGUAUAUAAAUGUAUUUUUAUGUUGUUGUGUAUAUGUUAAGAAAUAAAUGAAAAUGUUGGCCAAUGUAUCAUUAUCGUAUUUUGUAAACUCGAAUUGGGCACAAAAGAACUAUGUUGCUUCAACAAUAUAAAUGAUGGCAAUAUUUGGUCUGGUAUCAGCACAGACUACGGAUCAUUUGACCCUGUUCUCCCACAUUGUUCUAUGGCGUACAGCACUGUUUCUGAGGAUGUGUAACUGUCCAUGUAGGGAAGAUAACCUACAUUACAAAGUGUACGUAUGAGUGCACAAAGAAGAGCAGAAUGAUACGAUAGGGAUGGUUGCUUUGGGGUUUUGAGUUUACAGAGAGGUAAACAGCUAAUGAUACUAGUAAGGUAACCUCAGACUAAUGCAAACACAUGCAGUACCUGCAUUAACACAGUGGUAGGGUAAAACUAUUGGACGAUCCUACAGCUGGACUAGCUCACAAAAAGAUGAAGUCCUAUACGGUCAUGAGACCAAUAAACGUCAGAUGAAGUCCCUCCUGUCCAUCAAGCAGCCCCAUCUACCAAUCUGAAUGAAACUGCCCUCUCAUCCUCCAAUGUGACAUUACAAUAGAGAACCAACCUUCCUCUUGAAGAGAGACAGUGAAGUAAUUUGUUUAGCCAUCAAACCCUUCAGGCUUACCCCAGUUAACUGGUAAGAUGAGUCUUUUGUUGACUUACCUAAAAUGUGACAGACACCACACCCGUGCUAACACUGUCAGCAGAAAAGCUGGGAUAGAAAACCCUUUUUAUUCUACUGAAGGUUUUGUACACGUCAGGAGACUGAAGACUGAGCUUCACAUACGGCACCACACACACACACACACACACACGCACACACACACCUGUGUAUCUCAGCAGGGCAGGGGACAGGAGCGAAGGGCAGGUAUUGGAUUUGCAACUACGGAAACCUCCAGACCCGUCCUGGUAAGCAUCUUUAAUCAUUUUUAUAGAUAUCACACCAUGUUAUUCCCACUGUAUUUGUGCAUCGCAUAGGUGG